rnacentral:rRNA from 1 species
GACGAACGCUGGCGGCGUGCUUAACACAUGCAAGUCGAGCGACGCUCUUCCUUCGGGGAGAUGACGGAGCGGCGAACGGGUGAGUAACACGUGGGCAACCUGCCCCUAGCUCUGGGACAACACCGGGAAACCGGUGCUAAUACCGGAUACGACAUCGAGCGGCAUCUCUCGAUGUGGAAAGUUUUUUCGGCUAGGGAUGGGCCCGCGGCUUAUCAGCUUGUUGGUGGGGUAAUGGCCCACCAAGGCGACGACGGGUAGCCGGCCUGAGAGGGCGACCGGCCACACUGGGAGUGAGACACGGCCCAGACUCCUACGGGAGGCAGCAGUGGGGAAUAUUGCGCAAUGGGCGAAAGCCUGACGCAGCGACGCCGCGUGAGGGAUGACGGCCUUCGGGUUGUAAACCUCUUUCAGCAGGGACGAAUUCAGACGGUACCUGCAGAAGAAGCACCGGCCAACUACGUG